AAACUCAGAGUGCUUGUGCUUUUGAGAAGGAUAGAGAUGCUGUAGAUGAUUCUGUGAUCAUCAGAGGAGCGUAUGAGUCUUUAAUCUUUCUCAGGCACCUCAGGAUCAGAGAACUCAAGCGUGUCUGUCUGAGCCUGCUGAAUUACCUGCGCUCAGUGGAGAGGACUUUAGUGAUGGACGGAACUGGUCUGGAGUCAGUCGGUGGAGAUCUGCUCAGAAAUAUGGAGGAGACAGGCUGGAUUUACGCUGUUAGGAAAGAUGAUGGCUCUACUGGAGCUCUCGGAUCACAUCAGUUCAUCUACAACACUCCCGUUGACUAUAAGGUGCGCUGUGCUGAGUUUAUGGAGUUUCCUGAAGUGGAAAACCUUCAUGAUUAUUACAGCACAGACGGCA